rnacentral:rRNA from 1 species
CACGUAGGGGGCGAGCGUUGUUCGGAAUUACUGGGCGUAAAGGGCACGUAGGCGGUUCUGUAAGCCUGACGUGAAAGGCUAUGGCUCAACCAUGGCAUUGCGUUGGGAACUGCGGGACUUGAGUCCGGAAGAGGUGAGUGGAAUUCCUAGUGUAGAGGUGAAAUUCGUAGAUAUCAGGAAGAACACCCGUGGCGAAGGCGGCUCUCUGGGACGGUACUGACGCUGAGACGCGAAAGCGUGGGGAGCGAACAGG